rnacentral:misc_RNA from 1 species
AAGUCGUAACAAGGUAACCGUAGGUGAACCUGCGGUUGGAUCAUUACCAAUAUUCGUAUUGUCUUCUAUGAUUACUUUUUUUUGUAACUAAUUUUACUUGUGAAAAUGGGUACAAAAAAAAGUGAUUCACAGUGUUGAUUAUUCUUGGUAGUUUGUGUUUUUUUGGUCCCCCUUCUUUUUUGGGUUUAUCCCCAAGAGUUAAUGGGAGGGGAUCCGUUCUGUUUUGUCUUUUUUGGCAAAAACAGACCAUUCUACCAAGAGCUUUUAAAACAAACCUAUUAUUUUUUACAAGUUUGUCUAAAAUUAUACUCUUUUUUCUUUCUUUUCUUUCUUUUGGUAACAGAAGGAAGGAUAUGAGGGGAAAAAAAUACAAUUGAUAAAACAACUUUUGACAACGGAUCUCUUGGCUCUC